GAUGAAGAACGCAGCGAAAUGCGAUAAGUAAUGCGAAUUGCAGAAUUCAGUGAAUCAUCGAAUCUUUGAACGCACCUUGCGCCCCCUGGUAUUCCGGGGGGCAUGCCUGUCCGAGCGUCAUUGCUGCCCUCAAGCACGGCUUGUGUGUUGGGCCCCGCCCCCCGGCUCCCGGGGGGCGGGCCCGAAAGGCAGCGGCGGCACCGCGUCCGGUCCUCGAGCGUAUGGGGCUUCGUCACCCGCUCCGUAGGCCCGGCCGGCGCCCGCCGGCGACCCCCCUCAAUCUUUUCAGGUUGACCUCGGAUCAGGUAGGGAUACCCGCUGAACUUAAGCAUAUCAAUAAGCGGAGGA
rnacentral:misc_RNA from 1 species